GGACUACAGGGGUAUCUAAUCCUGUUUGCUCCCCACGCUUUCGUAGUUGAGUGUCAGUGCCCAUCCAGCUUGCCGCCUUCGCCUCUGGUGUUCCUCCCGAUCUCUACGCAUUUCACCGCUACACCGGGAAUUCCACAAGCCUCUCUGGGACUCCAGUCUCACCGUUUCAGGGGCACUUCUUGAGUUAAGCCCAAGGCUUUCACCCCUGACAAAUGAGACCACCUACCUACCCUUUACGCCCAAUAAUUCCGAGCAACGCUUGCACCCUCCGUAUUACCGCGGCUGCUGGCAC
rnacentral:rRNA from 1 species